AUUGAACGCCGGCGGCAUGCCUUACACAUGCAAGUCGAACGGUAACAGGUCUUCGGAUGCUGACGAGUGGCGAACGGGUGAGUAAUACAUCGGAACGUGCCUAGUAGUGGGGGAUAACUACUCGAAAGAGUGGCUAAUACCGCAUGAGAUCUACGGAUGAAAGCUGGGGAUCGCAAGACCUUGUGCUACUAGAGCGGCCGAUGGCAGAUUAGGUAGUUGGUGGGAUAAAAGCUUACCAAGCCGACGAUCUGUAGCUGGUCUGAGAGGACGAUCAGCCACACUGGGACUGAGACACGGCCCAGACUCCUACGGGAGGCAGCAGUGGGGAAUUUUGGACAAUGGGCGAAAGCCUGAUCCAGCAAUGCCGCGUGCAGGAUGAAGGCCUUCGGGUUGUAAACUGCUUUUGUACGGAACGAAAAGCCCCGGGUUAAUACCCUGGGGUCAUGACUGUACCGUAAGAAUAAGCACCGGCUAACUACGUGCCAGCCGCCGCCGUAA
rnacentral:rRNA from 1 species